GACAGCAGUAGCCGCGGGAAUACGGAGGGUGCAAGCGUUAAUCGGAAUUACUGGGCGUAAAGCGCACGCAGGCGGUCUGUCAAGUCGGAUGUGAAAUCCCCGGGCUCAACCUGGGAACUGCAUUCGAAACUGGCAGGCUAGAGUCUUGUAGAGGGGGGUAGAAUUCCAGGUGUAGCGGUGAAAUGCGUAGAGAUCUGGAGGAAUACCGGUGGCGAAGGCGGCCCCCUGGACAAAGACUGACGCUCAGGUGCGAAAGCGUGGGGAGCAAACAGGAUUAGAUACCCCUGUAGUCCCUGUCUCUUAUAC
rnacentral:rRNA from 1 species